AGUGGGAAGUCAGAUCAUGUCCUUCCUUCCACAGAAGCAGGGGCAGGGGGUGGGGUGAAGUCUAAUGUCUCCUCUCCAGGAUUGGUCAAGUACCUGGGGUCACAGGAUUAGACACGAGAUAGACAGGCAAGGAGAGGUCAUUCAGUCACUGGCAGGGCUCAGACCUUUCCCUGGAGAUAUCCAGCCCCUCCCCUCUGCAGCAACCUCUCUGUGACCCUCUAUCUGUCCCCUCCUUCAGAGUCACCACCCUCUGUCCUGGCCACCCCAGUCUUCCCUGCCCAGGGCCACUUGCCGCACCCUACAGUGGAGGGCAGGAAGAGCGUCUUCUGGGUCCGAGUCUUCGGCUGUUUGUGUUCACUGCUAACCUUUGUUGCCCACCUACUGUGUGCAGGCAGGAUCCCUUCAUUAACCUGAGCCUCCUGAGGCCCUGACUCUCCCAGAAUCCACUGUUCUGCGGACCUUCCCAGUAAGGACUCAGCAAAGAAAGCGUUUGCAGAAGUGGUACAGAUUCUAGGGCUGCAAACACUGUGGAGUUGGGUGGGGUGGUCUUAGUUUUGUUCCCUCUGCUAAAACCAAGGGUAGGGAGCUUUUGGGGAACUUUCAUCUGUAGAGCAGUAUCAGUGUCUCAGUGAAAGGUGGCUGAGCCCUUCCUUCUCCCCCUGAAGUGAGGGCUUGGUGUCAGAGAAAGGGCUGCUUUAGUCACAAAGGUGACCGGCAGGCUCCUCGAGGAUUUCUGAGCCCUUCACAGCUCAGGUCAGCCUACUCCAGGUCAAUCCAUGGCCCCAACUGAAAGGCAAAGCAAGAUCUUCAUGCUUCACCUGAAGCCCCCAGAGUUUCAUAAUGUUACUGAUGUUACUUUAAAAAUAAAAGUUAAAUUUACUAGCAAAAAUGGGCUUACUUGGGAUAGCAGAGAAUUCCAAUCUUGAACGUGCAAGCUAUGGCAAAACCACAGGUAAGCCCAGAGCAAGUGGAAAGCUCUUACAGAAAAAGGAGCUGAGUUGGGAGAGCAGGUGCGGGCAUAAAGCCCAGCGGAGCAAACUGGCAGUUCCUCAUCCUGGCUGUGCCGUGACAGUCUCAGCAGCUGGACUUUACUGGGAGGCACAGGUGGAACCUCCUUGCUGGGGUGGAAGGUGAGUGCAGCAGCUUGGCCUCGUCUCUGCUGGUGGGGUCUGAAACGCUGGCAGAGGGGUGUGUAGAGGGCCUACCCACUGACCUGCUCCCCUCCUGCUCCAUGUCAUCGAGGUUUCCCUUUAUUAGCAUUCACACUGACCUGCACACGCAGCCAAAGGUCCUGAACAAACAGAGAUAAAAGGGAGGAUGGCUGAGUUUGCAGCCUGGGGGCCAUGUGUUCAGGAGGGCUGGACUCAGCCCCAGGAGUCCCCUCCAGAAUGUCAGAGAACCGUGAGGGACAAACCCCUGUCCCUUCAUGCUGGGGUCUACAGAGGGGCCAGGGCUGUAGCCAGAUAGGUGCCUUGGCCCAGGCUGUGGCCUGAGACUCGAGGGUGCCAACUUUCAAAGGCAGAGCCACAGUGGUGGUGAAAAAGAAGUCCAAUGCAAACAGCCCAGGUCCUCAGUCUAGACCCUCAGUGAACCCAAGUUGUCCUCCUUGCAGGCUUCUUCCUUGAGGAGGGAGCCAGAUUCAGUCUGAUGGGUUAGAACCCUGGCCACGGGCAUGCCACGAGAGUCCGAGGUGCCACAAAGAAGCUGCCCUCACUGUCCAUCUUUGAUGUCCUUGUUCUUUCUGAGGAGCACAGGGUCAGUGACUCCUGACCCACAACUCAUCUCUUCCAAGCAUCAGAUCUCCAGCCGUGAAGGCACGGAUGUGUCUGCACAUUUUGGGGUCCCAUCUGCAGGUGUGUGUGAGGGCGUUGCAUGCCUGUAGGGCUGGAAAGGAGCUUGCACAAGUAACCCUACUCCCAGUCCUUUCCCUCACCUUGUCUCCCCUUCUCUGGAAAACCGACCCUGAGGGGAGCAGGGGAAUGGGGGGGUGGGGAGGGUGGGGGAGGGUGAGUGCUUCGCCCCGCCUCCUUGACAGUGAUCCCUGCGGGCUUUCUGCAGAGCACCACCAGGGGUCGCGCGUGGCCCGCAGUGCAGUCCCUGGGCGGCCCAGCAACUCUUCGGCAGGCCGUGCCGUGGGGUGGCGAUCGCCGCGGCUGGACGCCCGGUGCAGGGUCAGCGCAGAAUCGCUCCGGCCAGCGUCCAACCCCCGGCACAGCUGCAGGAUUUCACGCUGUGGCCCCGGCCGUUCCGAGAUGAGUGAGGGUCACCCCGGGCUCCUUCUCCCCCGUACCGCUCUCUUCCGAACUUCCGGCGAUCCUUCCAGCCUGCGAUGGACUCCUCAGCUCCUGGCACCCUUGGCAAGUGGGCACGUUACUUCCCUACUCACAAGCGUGAAGCAGCAGGCGUGCGGGCUGGGAGAUGGCUGUGCUGCACGGCCCCUUAGGAACUUAUGGUCGAGGAAAUGUGUGGUCACAUUUGCAGUUCCUACCAAGCAAAGGCACCAGAACCUUACGCCGAACAGUGUCCCGUCACUGGUCAGAACUGCAUGUCGCCCCGUCCCCUUUGAGUUUCCAGGGCUCCUUCCUUCCGCCAGCCUUUUUCCUCCCCCACCUUUGGGAAGACUCGUAGGAGGGUCCUGGCCGGCUCCGCAGCAUCAGGACCCGGCUGCUUUCUGCAGGACCAGCCAUGUUGUGCUGCUCUGCCUCCCACCUGGAGGAAUGGACCCUUUCAGGGCUGCAGCCAGCGCUCAGCAGUCCCACCUACAACCAAAGGGGACAAUGAGGAAGGCGCCCAGAGCAGAGACACUGGCUUCUUUUGUGCCUUCCCCAGACCAGCGCCUUUUAUAAGGUGGUCUCCUCCUCCUCACCCUGAGCUCCUCCAGGGUCAGCGAUUCUGGGGUGCAGUCUCUAGGCCUUUCUUCAGUCUCCUGAGGGGCGCCCGCCCCCCAGCCCCUCCACCAUCACCCUGAUACAGAUUGAGCUAGUUCCUUACUUGGUGCCUUCACGCAUCAGGGCUGGGGGAGAGAGAGUGGCAGCCGCCAGGGCUGUGUGAGGUGACAAGGCUUCAGGUCGGACUUGAAUUUCUUGCAUCUAGGCUAAUUGGUGUGGUGAUGCAUCCGCCUUCAGAAGUUAUAGUGUGGCUCACCCAGGGGCCCUGUGUCUGUUGCCAGGGGUGGAAGAGAGGAGAGCUCUUCUCAGCAGGGUGCAGCCUCUCCCACUGUCCCCUGAGCCUGAGCCUUCUUGCCUCCCCCUGCUCUAUGGCGGCUCUCAUGGACCUCUCUUUUAUGUAUCGCUGGUUCAAGAACUGCAAUCUGGUCCCCAACCUCCCAGACAAGUACGUCUUCAUCACGGGCUGCGACUCGGGCUUCGGGAACCUGCUGGCCAGGCAGCUGGUGGAUCGGGGCAUGCGGGUGCUGGCUACUUGCUUCACGGAGGAGGGGGCCCAGAAGCUUCAGCAGGAUACAUCCUACCGACUGCAGACCACACUACUGGAUGUCACCAAGACUGAGAGCAUCCAGGCGGUGGCCCAGUGGGUGAGGGACCAAGUGGGUGAGCAAGGUUCUGGGGGUCAGCCUGGAAAGCUCUCAGGAUUGCAAAGCACAGGCUGGAAGCCACUGUUCUAGUCUACCUGAUGAAGAGAGAGGAAGUGACUUAUCCAAGCUGUGGACAGAAGCAGGUCUAGAACCUGAGGUUCUUUAAGCCUGGGCCCCUGCAGUGCUGAAUGACAAUACCAAUUAUUGUUUCUUUCCAUUUACACCAACUCAAAUGAAAUAUGUCAGAGAUAGCCCUGCUCAUGUUUUCCCAAAAUUAUCUUAUUUAAAUGGCUAUGUAUUGAUUUUUGAAUAAAUGUUAUAUAUUUAUUUAC